GAUGAACGCUGGCGGCGUGCUUAACACAUGCCAGUCGAACGAAGCAUUUAAGACAGAUUACUUCGGUUUGAAGUCUUUUAUGACUGAGUGGCGGACGGGUGAGUAACGCGUGGGUAACCUGCCUCAUACAGGGGGAUAGCAGCUGGAAACGGCUGGUAAUACCGCAUAAGCGCACAGUACCACAUGGUACAGUGUGAAAAACUCCGGUGGUAUGAGAUGGACCCGCGUCUGAUUAGCUUGUUGGCGGGGUAGCGGCCCACCAAGGCGGCGAUCAGUAGCCGACCUGAGAGGGUGACCGGCCACAUUGGGACUGAGACACGGCCCAGACUCCUACGGGAGGCAGCAGUGGGGAAUAUUGCACAAUGGAGGAAACUCUGAUGCAGCGACGCCGCGUGAGUGAAGAAGUAGUUCGCUAUGUAAAGCUCUAUCAGCAGGGAAGAUAGUGACGGUACCUGACGAAGAAGCUCCGGCUAAAUACGUG
rnacentral:rRNA from 1 species